AACCUCCGCAAUGUGAGAAAUCGCGACGGGGGGAUCCCAAGUGCCAUUCUUAACGGGAUGGCUUUUCAUUAGUGUAAAGAGCUUUUGGAAUAAGAGCUGGGCAAGACCGGUGCCAGCCGCCGCGGUAACACCGGCAGCUCUAGUGGUAACAAUUUUUAUUGGGCCUAAAGCGUCCGUAGCCGGUUUAAUAAGUCUCUGGUGAAAUCCUGCAGCUUAACUGUGGGAAUUGCUGGAGAUACUAUUAGACUUGAGACCGGGAGAGGUUAGAGGUACUCCCAGGGUAGAGGUGAAAUUCUGUAAUCCUGGGAGGACCGCCUGUUGCGAAGGCGUCUAACUGGAACGGUUCUGACGGUGAGGGACGAAAGUUAGGGGCGCGAAACCGGAUUAGAUACCCGGGUAUCCUAAACUGUAAACGAUGCGGACUUGGUGUUGGGGUGGCUUUGAGCUGCUUCAGUGCCGAAGGAAGCUGUUAAGUCCGCCGCCUGGGAAGUACGGUCGCAAGACUGAAACUUAAAGGAAUU
rnacentral:rRNA from 1 species